rnacentral:rRNA from 1 species
UGUAAGCGUAUACCAAAGUUGUUGCAGUUAAAACGCUCGUAGUCGGAAUUUGGCAGUUCCGGAUGUGUGCACGUCGUGUGCGCACUUCGCGGGGAUUGCUUUUGUGGUCUUGCGUAGGAUGAGGCACUUUUAUUAGUGAACGUCCUCACGCAACCACUUUUUACUGUGAGAAAAUAAGAGUGCUCAAAGCAGGCAUUUGCCGUGAAUGUAUUAACAUGGAAUAAUAGAAUAGGACUUGGUUCUAUUUUGUUGGUUUGUUGGGACUGAGUAAUGAUUAAGAGGGACAGUUGGGGGCAUUUGUAUUUCGGUGCUAGAGGUGAAAUUCUUAGAUUACCGAAAGACAAACUGCUGCGAAAGCGUCUGCCAAGGAUGUUUUCAUUGA